rnacentral:lncRNA from 1 species
UUCGUCGAAAGAUUAUUCCUAUUCUGCACAAUGCAAACUUCCGCUUAGUUUUAACGGGUAUUUUUCAAGAGAAAACUCAUUACAAAGUUACGAAUUUCAGUUAUCAGUGGAUUUGAUUGUGCCGUGAUUUUUAAAUUGAGCUGUAAGUGCCAGGCUUCUCUGAGUGGUUUAACGUCAAAUACGAUGAGGAAGAAGGGAUAUAUACGUGCAAACUUGCUGAAGAAUAUAUGGAUGGAGAUGUCGAAAUAAUACAAGAAAAUGAGCAGUGAUGUUUGAUACCUGUUUAGAUGACCACCAGCAGCUGUUUAGAUGACCACCAGCACUGACCUUCAAGAGCCAUUGUCUAUGCACUAUGAUUGAACUGUUCAUCUGUUAUUCUAUCUUUGGUACAUGUAUAUGAACUCAUCAAAGUUGCAAACCAAAUCAAGUAAAGUUUGGUCAAAAUCACCAACACUUAAAGGACAUGAUCAUCAACACUUAAAGGACAUGUACAUACUUUCUGGACGAACAUGUCCAAUGUAUUUUUGUUGUGAUAUUAUAUGGAUAAUGUGUGUUUUUUAGCUCAACUGUACGAAGUAUGAAGAGCUGUCCUACUCGAACCCGCAUCAGUGUCCUUUUGCAUCCUCACUUUGGUUAAAGUUUUGAUGCACUUUCACUUUAUUGCUGUAAUAACUUGAUGUGCAGAACUCAUGAAUCUGCCAUGCUGGCUCAAGGUCAAGGUCAAUACUUAGGGUCAAAGGUUUGAGC